rnacentral:lncRNA from 1 species
UACUAUUAGGAGGGGAAAAAAACACACAAAGAAAAACCUGGCUGACACAGAAGGCAGGCAAAUUUCAUUAUCUCCCAUAAUUUCUGUUUCAGAACUGAAGAAGCGCUUGAGUAACUGGAAGCUUAUUUGGUUUUCCUAAUUAUAUCAGCUAUUUGGAUCACAUUCAGAAAGUUAUCAAAUCCAGACUAUUUUGAAAAGUGUGUUGGAGAGAUUUUUUAUUGGAAACUUCCUGUCGGCCAUUCCUUCCUACUUGGAAAAAGAAAGGAUACUUCGGGUGUGCUGUCCCUGCUGGUCAUGCUGGAGCAAAGCAUUUCGCUGCCUGUUCCAUGGUCUUACCCAUUUUGGAGUGGAUCUCUCAUAGAAAUGUCUGCAUUUCUGUGUGGGUAGAGUUAAAUCUACAAAAUCAGGUGUGGAGUAUUAGUACCCCUGCCUUUUUUCUUCUGACUUCAGCCCAACUGCUGCAUGAUGUGGUGAUUCCCUGAAAGCUCUGGUUUUUGGACUCAAAUGGAUAGCCAUCUUAAAACGAGUCAAGAAACACAUGGCUUUGAAUGCCCUUCCAGUGGAACCAGAGCAAGAGAAAGAGCUACUGAACCUGGAUAAGAACGAGCUUCCUCAUGGUGCCAGGAUUUUCAAGAAUUCCAGUAUUUUUCCUAUCUCCCACCAGGAAUGAAAGAUCUUUUUAAAACUUGGAUGAAAAUCUCGAAAAUAAAUUCAAGAUGAGGCCAAACUAAAUAUUUUAC